rnacentral:sRNA from 1 species
AAAUCGGUACAAGAUGGCGGAGGGGGACGAGGCAGCGCGAGGGCAGCAACCGCACCAGGGGCUGCGGCGCCGGCGGCGGACCAGCGACCCAAGCGUUGCGGUUAACCACGUCUCGUCCACGACCUCCCUAGGUGAGAAUUAUGAAGAUGAUGACCUAGUAAAUUCUGAUGAGGUUAUGAAGAAACCAUGUCCAGUACAGAUUGUUCUUGCUCAUGAAGAUGACCAUAACUUUGAACUUGAUGAAGAAGCUUUGGAGCAGAUAUUGCUACAGGAGCACAUACGAGAUCUUAACAUAGUAGUGGUAUCUGUGGCAGGAGCUUUUCGUAAAGGGAAGUCAUUUCUACUGGACUUCAUGCUUAGAUACAUGUAUAAUAAGGAUUCUCAAAGUUGGAUUGGUGGAAACAAUGAACCGUUGACAGGCUUUACAUGGCGAGGUGGCUGUGAAAGAGAAACAACAGGCAUACAAGUUUGGAAUGAAGUAUUUGUGAUUGACAGACCUAAUGGAACUAAAGUAAAAUUCUGUUUAUACUUUUCUACCUUGUAUUCUUUCUUGGGCUGUUU